UACAGAGGUCUCAAGCGUUGUUCGGAUUCAUUGGGCGUAAAGGGUGCGUAGGUGGCGGGGUAAGUCAGGUGUGAAAUCUCGAGGCUCAACCUCGAAACUGCACUUGAUACUGCCUUGCUAGAGUACUGGAGAGGAGAUUGGAAUUUACGGUGUAGCAGUGAAAUGCGUAGAUAUUAGGAAGAACACCGGUGGCGAAGGCGGCCAUCUGGCUCGGUACUGACGCUCAGGCGCGAAAGCGUGGGGAGCAAACAGG
rnacentral:rRNA from 1 species